UGAGGAAUAUUGGUCAAUGGACGAGAGUCUGAACCAGCCAAGUAGCGUGCAGGAUGACGGCCCUAUGGGUUGUAAACUGCUUUUGUUUGGGAAUAAUCGACAUUACGUGUAAUGUUUUGCAUGUACCAUUCGAAUAAGGACCGGCUAAUUCCGUGCCAGCAGCCGCGGUAAUACGGAAGGUUCGGGCGUUAUCCGGAUUUAUUGGGUUUAAAGGGAGCGUAGGCCGUUUGGUAAGCGUGUUGUGAAAUGUAGGAGCUCAACUUCUAGAUUGCAGCGAGAACUGUCAGACUUGAGUGCGCACAACGUAGGCGGAAUUCAUGGUGUAGCGGUGAAAAGCUUAGAUAUCAUGAAGAACUCCGAUUGCGAAGGCAGCUUACGGGAGCGCAACUGACGCUGAAGCUCGAAGGUGCGGGUAUCGAACAGG
rnacentral:rRNA from 1 species